rnacentral:rRNA from 1 species
GACGAACGCUGGCGGCGCGCUUAACACAUGCAAGUCGAACGGAAAGGCCUGCUUUCCCUUGUGGAUUGCGGGUACUCGAGUGGCGAACGGGUGAGUAACACGUGAGUGAUCUGCCCCCAACUUGGGUAUAAGCCUGGGAAACUGGGUCUAAUUCCCGAUAGGACUGCAGGGUGGUGCCUGUGGUGGAAAACGAUUUUCUAGUGGUUGGGGAUGAGCUCGCGGCCUAUCAGCUUGUUGGUGGGGUAAUGGCCUACCAAGGCGGCGACGGGUAGCCGGCCUGAGAGGGUGGACGGCCACAUUGGGACUGGGAUACGGCCCAGACUCGUGCGGGAGGCAGCAGUGGGGAAUAUUGCACAAUGGGCGGAAGCCUGAUGCAGCGACGCCGCGUGGGGGAUGACGGCCUUCGGGUUGUAAACUCCUUGCGACCGCGAGGAAGCCACCUGGUUGGAAGGGUGGUGACGGUAGUGGUAGAAGAAGCACCGGCUAACUACGUG